rnacentral:rRNA from 1 species
AGUCGAGCGCUGAUUUCAGGGUAGCAAUAUUCUGGAGUUGGAGCGGCGCAAGGGUGCGUAACACGUGGGUAAUCUGCCAUGAAGUUUGGGAUAACUUGCUGAAAGGCGAGCUAAUACCGGAUGUGAAAAUCGGGUGGCAUCAUUUGAUUUUCAAAGCUGGGGACCGUAAGGCCUGGCGCUUCAUGAUGAGCCCGCGGCCUAUCAGCUAGUUGGUGAGGUAACGGCUCACCAAGGCUAAGACGGGUAGCUGGUCUGAGAGGACGACCAGCCACACUGGAACUGAGACACGGUCCAGACACCUACGGGUGGCAGCAGUCGAGAAUUUUUCACAAUAGGGGAAACCCUGAUGGAGCGACGCCGCGUGGGGGAUGAAUGGCUUCGGCCCGUAAACCCCUGUCAUCUGGGAACAAUGCUCAUUCAAUAACACUGGAUGAGUUGAUAGUACCGGAAGAGGAAGGGACGGCUAACUCUGUGCCAGCAGCCGCGGUAAUACAGAGGUCCCAAGCGUUGUUCGGAUUCACUGGGCGUAAAGGGUGCGUAGGUGGUGAGGUAAGUCGGAUGUGAAAUCUCCGAGCUCAACUCGGAAAUGGCAUUGGAAACUACCUUGCUAGAGGAUUGGAGGGGAGACUGGAAUGCUUGGUGUAGCAGUGAAAUGCGUAGAUAUCAAGCGGAACA